CUCCUAUUCCAAUGCAGAUUUUCCCAACGUGUUUGGGCUAAUGUGGCUUCAUGGAUCGGCAUAAACAGUGCUGUAGUUGCAGGCUGGCGUCACGAAAUUUUUGUAAAGGAAUGGUGGUUCAAGACUAUCCUAGAUAGGGGCCCCCCGAGGAAGGCUCUGGCCUCCAUGCUCAUGCUUGUUUCCUGGGAACUCUGGAAUGAGCGCAAUGCAAGAGUUUUUAGGAAUGUCGCUACCACGGUGACCAUGAUCACUGCUAGGAUAAAGGAGGAGGCUCGUAUUUGGGCGCUUGCAGGCGCUAGGCACCUCUGUGAUGUAAUGCCGCGAGAGUAG
rnacentral:rRNA from 1 species